CUCUUCACUCACAAAGUCACAAGCGUUUCAGCGAGUGACAAGAAACAGGAAGCAUGGCGACGAACGGGCGACAGUCUCAAGCAACUCAGUGUUAGGCCACAUUUCACUUCAGUCGUGAUCAAUAACCUGGUUUUGUGUGACACACUGAGCAGCAGCUCGAGUGUUGUUCAAGAUGUCAGCGGCGAAGCAGGCAGGGACAAGCAUUCAUGCUGGUGUCAUUGCUUCAGUGGUUAUUGUCUCUCUGUUGGCAAUCGCUGCUGCUGUAUUGAUCAUCCGAAAAUACUGCUUCCCAGUCAAUGGGAGAACGUAUAGGUACUCGGUGCUGAGGACACUGGAAGAACAUGGGUCGGAGGGCAUGGACGAGUGUAACCAGUUGGUGGACUCAGAUGAGGAGCUUCUGGAGUAGCUGCACAAUGCUGCUUGACCAGCGUCAGAGAAUUGCAUUGGAUUUUUUUUUUUUUAUUUGUGUUUUUUGAGAGUGAAGAGGGGUGUGGUGUUGGCACAGCCUGAUGUAAUAAUAAUCGACACACAGUGUUCAUUGCACAGUUGAUCGAUCCAGUUCAUUAGUUUUAGUUGCUAAAACGCUCUAUUUUCCUAUUCCAUAUUUGAAUUGUGCUGACUGUUACAUGUGAUCAACAAGCUACAUUAAAUAUGAGAAAUGGGCCCGAGCAUGACAAAUGUUGCAAAGCCAUUCACGUCCGGUUGAAAGAAAAUGCUGCUCUUUUAAAAGAUGAGGGCAUUUUAACAUGCUUCAAAUUAUUUAUCUUAAUGUAUUUGUUUUUAUUGAAAUCAGUAUUUUCUCCUCCUUCAUUUUAUUCCUAUUCAUUUUCUGUUCCAAAAUGUUGGCAUGUGAUUGUAUCAUCUCACUGAUGAAAGCGUGGUUGUCAGCGAUGAUGCUCCUCUUCCGCUUCUGUUCAGGCCAUGAAUCUGGCUGACAGGAAGUGUCCUUUGUCUCGAGCAUUUUCAAGUAUUGCGGAUCUGUUACAAAGCCGGAACUCAGGACUUGGUUAUAUAUUUAUUUAUUGUAAACACUGCUGUUUUAAGAUCUGCGCAAGUAAAUAAAUAAAUAUAACGACAUGUGACUGUUGCACUGUGCAGCGAGACCCUCUGCUGUUCGUUUUGUGCAUUACAUGUUGUGACUCAUGAAUGCUGAAGAAAUAAAAAAAAAUUAUGAACCAAAUUAUGGGGAUUUAUUGC